rnacentral:rRNA from 1 species
GCCAGUUACGAUAGCACGUGGAAGAAAACAGUUCCCUAUGGAUCACUGAAUUUGGGCAACUUUGCGUGUGAUUAGUAUCCGGACGGGUGGCCAUAUGGGCAAACACGUGCGGCUGACU